rnacentral:miRNA from 1 species
AGCUGAUUUCGUCUUGGUAAUA